UUGAAUCAAAUCUGAAAGAUUUUGAAUCCAAAGUUUCACAUAGGUCUGAAUCUACAAAUUCUCUACUUUGUGUGCACGUCAAACUUCUCAAGAAUGUGGGAUGAGCUUCGGAUUGAAGCACCUUCGCAAGACAACAAGGGAAGGGAGAGAGGCUCUGGUGUGAUACCUCACACCAGCAAGAGGGAUGCCCAAAAGGCCUUGAUGCCAUG
rnacentral:lncRNA from 1 species